AUGUCCCCAAACUGUGGUUUAAAAUGUCAUGGUGGUCCAGGAUAUGCAUCUCCAGCUGAUGCUAUAAAAGGACCACGAGAAGAAGUUUUAUUUGUGACUGCUCCAAAUGCAGCUGAUGGUCCUGAUGCCAUUUUUACAGUUGAUGUGAAUCCAGAGAGUGACACUUUUUGUCAGGUGAUCAGCCGAGUUGAUGUGCCACAUAUUGGUGAUGAAGUCCAUCAUACUGGAUGGAAUGCGUGCUCUUCUUGUCAUGACAAACCAACUGAGAAGAGAUCCCAUUUGAUCGUUCCUUGCCUGAACUCUGACCGUAUCUACAUUAUCAACGUAGAAAAUGAGCGUAAAAUCUAUCUUGAACAUACAAUUGAACCAUCAAAACUUCAUUCUCUAAACCUUUCAUUUCCACAUACUUCACAUUGUCUUGCCGAUGGAAAUAUUAUGAUUAGUACUUUGGGAGAAGCUAAUGGAACUCCAUCUGGUAACUUUUUGUUGUUGGAUGGAAAGACAUUUGAGCCGAAAGGAACAUGGCCAGCUGACGAGAAGACUGUUCCGUUUAACUAUGAUUUCUGGUACCAGCCAAGGAGAAAUGUGAUGAUUUCUACGGAAUGGGGAUCACCGAAUCAUAUUAAAAAGGGAUUUAAUCCAGCUCACGUCGGAGAGGGUCUCUACGGAAACAGUGUUCAUAUUUUCGAAUGGGACUCUAAGAAAUAUCUUCAAACAAUUGAUCUACCACAGCCACUUGGAGCACUUCCACUUGAAGUUCGAUUCCUCCAUGAGCCAACCAGUGAGCACGCUUUUGUGGGAUGUGCUCUUGGAUCAGGAAUUUUUAGAAUUCAUCCUGUUGAGGAGGUGAGUAAUAUUCAAUAGAAUUUUCAGAAAAAUUGAAAUGUUUCAAUAAGUUAUUAUUUGUUUAGAAACUGAGAUUAAUAUGUUAAAACCGUAGAAUAGAAUCAAGAUUAAAAUUAUUGUAAAACUAAUUUGCCGAGCUCGGAAAAUUUUGAGAACUGCCGCACAUCCUUGAUUGGGAGGUAGCAAAGUUUCCAAAACUGUUGCUUCUUCCAGAGUACUCAAAUUUUAUUCCAUGAAAACUCUUCAGUAGAGUGUUUGAUUUUUCAAAAGUUUCAGUCAAUUGAAAAUGGUUAAACAGUUUUGGAGAUCAAUGCCGUGAUUUUACGAAAACAUUGAAACAUUCAAAAAACUUUUCAGUUUCAAUUUGUCCUCAUAACACACUCUGUUGUUUUUAGUUUAGUUCUGUUGGUAUUCCUGUCAUCUAUUGAAAUAGAUCCGGUUUUUAGAAUUCAUCCUGUUGAGGAGAACUCAACAACCCAUGCAGCUACUCUCGUUGCCUUCAUUCCUUCUAAAAAAGUAAGUGGAUGGGCUCUUCCAGAAAUGCCAGCUCUUAUAACUGAUAUCCUUAUCUCAAUGGAUGAUCGUUUCCUGUAUGUCUCGUGUUGGCUUCAUGGAGAUAUUCGUCAAUAUGACAUUUCUGAUCCAUUGAAGGUGAAAUUGAAUUCUCAAGUUUAUAUUGGAGGAAGUGUACAUACGGAAUCAAAUGUAAAAGUUCUAGAAGGUGAAAAACCAAUUGAAGCACUUUAUGUGAAGGGACGGAAAAUUGAAGGAGGUCCACAGAUGUUACAGUUGUCAUUGGAUGGAAAGAGACUUUAUGUUACAACUUCUUUAUACAAGAAAUGGGAUGAUCAAUUCUAUCCAGAACAUGUCAAAUCUGGCGCCACAAUGGUUCAAGUCAACAUUGAUCCAGAAUCUGGAAAAAUGGAAAUAAAUCGAGACUUUUUGAUCGAUUUUGGAAAAAUUGAAGGAGGUCCCUAUUUGGCUCACGAGAUGCGUUAUCCCGGUGGAGAUUGUACAUCGGAUAUUUGGAUUUAA
rnacentral:misc_RNA from 1 species